GAUUUUUAUAAUGCGUAUUUAUUAUUCAAAUGGCCUGACAAUGUUCAAAGUGUUUGAAAAAGAAGAGCAGGAAUUUGACCUCCUUCGAACCCACAUCUUCACCUCCCAGCCCCGCCGUGGGUGGAGAAGGGCACGGGUCAUUUGCUCUUUUACUAGAGUUUAUCUCCCCUCAGUACUUCUCCCCGGACCCCAACAGCCCUCCCCGCUGAGGUCUGGCCCGGUACUCAGUCAGGGUCCUUUAAGCAGUGGGGCUGCGGGUGGCCUCUCCUUCCUCCUGGGUGAGGCGGGAGGGGGCGCUGGUCUGGCAGGCGCUGGGCAUCUCUCUGCUGGAGCAUGGGUGCCCUGAGGAGCCGGGACCACUAUGGAGGCUGGUGAAGCAGGAGAGGGGAUCAGGGGAGGAGAGAGAAAGCAGAGCUGGCCCAUGAGCAGGCUGGCCACUGAAAGAGGAGGCAAGACAGGAGAGUCAGGGGGAGGGAGCCAGAACUCACCUACCAGCCCCGUGCUUUCCUGGGGUCCCUGACAGCGCCCACAACAGAAUCAACCACCCACCUGUCACAGGGGUCUGUGCCCCACCCUCACUGAGUGACACUGGCUUGCCCCCUACUGCCUUCUGCCUCAGUUUCCCCAACCAUUAACCACCAUCCUGGACAGAAAGUGAAUGGAGACCCAGGGCCAUGGGGAUGUCAGGCCCACCUCCCCUCUUUUCUUUCCAUCGUUUCCUCUCCCAACCAGCGCCCCCUCCCUAGCCAGGCCCCCCUUCUAGUUUUCCUGGCUAAAACCUGCCACAGACACCACCACACCCGGAAAGAGAUAAAUAAAUAAAAGAAAAACAACCUCAACUGUGAAAAGCAGUCCAAAUCUGAUUUUUUUCCGGCCUGAGUUAAUUACACUUUAAAUUGGCAUGUUUACUGAUCAGGGAUUUCAAGUUAACAGAGACACCCCCCUCCCCAACUGUUUGUACAGUAAAACUCGGCAGGCUGGCGGGCUCCCCCAGGCCUUGGCAGGCCCCGCUGCUCCCCUGCCAAUGGGAGAGCAUAACAGAAACAUCUAUUUUUGAGUGUUGGAGAAAACGAAGCUAUCACAGAUGGUGGGAAGCGCCAUUCUGGAUGCUUUCCCACCCCCACCCCCACCCCCACCGAAGGGCUCUGUGCACCUUCUCCACGGCGUCUUGCCCUGGGGAGGACCAGGGCCUUCACUCUCAGGGGACCCCAGACACGGGGCCCAGCCUGCUCAGGCACCCCUCACACAGCAGCGCUACCCGUGAGGGGUUCACUCCCAUCUCUGCGGCUCCACUGGGAGCAGGGCCUGCCUCUCCUCGGAGCAAGGCUGUGCGGGGCGUGGAGGGAGCUCUGGGGAGGAGUCAGGAGGCCCCGUUUCAUUCAUUCACUCAGUGAACACUGUUUGGAGCUCAGAAGAGCUGCUCUGAGUAAGAUGGCACCAUCCCUAAUAAUGGGCUUGGGUUUCCCUUAAACGCUGUGGGCCCUGGGCAAACCCCCCCUCUGCUCCAGGCACAAGUGGGAGGCAACCAGUGCACUUACCAGAACCGAGGAACUCCUCCAGGAUCAGGCUGGGCUCCCCAGCUCACAGCGCACGUCUCUCCAGGCACAAGAGGUCUGGUGUAGGCUCCUCUGGUCCAGCCCUUGGCUCAUGGUUGGGGUCAACCAAAGGCUCCAUGCAUGGGAUGUCUGUAUACUGGGCACAGGCAAGCGCCUGGUCCAGCACACCUGCAAAGGGAAGACAAGGCCAAUGAGCAUCAUGUGGCGCCUUCCCCGGGCUAGGUUCUGUGUCCCAUGGUGACCAAACCAGAAACAGUCCCUGCCUCUGUGCAGCCUGAAAGCUGGGCAGGGAGAGACAUUGAUCAAAGGAUCAGAGGACUGAUAACUGACUGCAUAUUGGAGUUGUAUGUAUAGAGGUGGAUCAAGGAAGGCUUCCUGGAGGAGGUAGCACUGGAGCAGAGCCUUCAAGGAUAAGGAGGGACAGGCAUUCCAGGCAGGGCCACAGCUUGAGCAAAGGCAUGGCACUGGGACUUGUAGAUAUGAAAACAACUUCAGCACCCAGAACCCGAAGAGUUCUUUGAGAGGUCCCAUCACACUCCCAUUUGGGUCCUGCAGCCAUAAAGGCACCAAAGUCCUACCCGGGGACUGGCCACGUGGCCCAAUGUGGCUCCUGUCCUCCCUGCUGCCCACACCAGGCCUUCCGGGCCCCAGACCUGCCCUUCCUCGGGGUCCUUCCCCAGCCCCAGCCCUGCGCGCACUCCGCGGGCUGGCGGGCAGCGCGCUUCGCAUGCGUCCUCCACGUCCUGAGUAAGAUGGCACCAUCCCUAAUAAUGGGAUGAUGAUGAACGAGACCGCAUGGCGCCCGUGCUUCCCGGCCCUAGGGCCUGUCCCUGCUGGUGACAAAUGGCCCCUCUGCCUCCACGGGGUCUUCACAGCGGCCUCGACUGCAUGGCCUUGGCGGAGAUUCAUGUCUGUCUACCCCAGAUUCUUCUUCCUGUCUCUGCUUCUUUAUUCCCUCAGAGCAUGCUUUCAUUUAUUCAUUCCACAAACAUUCUCCCAGCGCCUCCUGCGUAGUCGCUCCCGGCUAUAAAGAUCGGAUUCAAUACACCCUCACGUGCUGAACACCUGCGCUGCGCCGGCGUGUGAGGCCAGCUUUGAUCCGGGUAUUAGCUGUGCACCUACUGUGAGCCGGCUCCGCGGAGUCAAGGCCAUGGCUUCGGGAAGCCCAGCGGCAGGAGGCAGCAUCCCCGCCGCGGGUACUGAGUCCCACUAGGUGCUUCUACAGCCCCAGGCUGCUGGGUCCCCUCUGUCACAAGGAGGGAACCUACUUCUUCACCAGAGGCGGGUCUUACUAAAAACCUAGAUUCAGCUGAGGAAAUGUCAAGAUCGGGUUAGCUUAAUUCAAUGAUUCGUGAACCGCGGGGCACUGUAUCUCGCAAGCAGAAGGGAGCUCCAAGGAGCUGUAGGAAAUGGCAGGAUUUUCUAGGCAGGGGGUCUAAUGGGGCGGACGACCUCACUGGGGCUCCCGAGGAACUUCCAGACUGAGGGGUUCAACAGUGCGCUUGGGGAGCGGCUGGGACCGCCCUCAGGCGAGGCGUGGAGUCCUGGUGGGGUUUAGCACAAGGGGCGCCGUUUGCAGCCUGUUUCCUUUCAAGUCUCAACCUCAAAGUUAGAGACAACCCACAGGAAGAAGCCAUGGCAGAGCUCUUGGAGCUCCGUGGUCUUGCCUGUAAGGAGGUGCAAGGGGGCAGGGGCAACGGGACGAGAGGUCUCACUCAGCCUGGACAUUUAGGGGUUCUUUGCAUCCUCGGGGGCCCACUGAGACUGUGACCUCGGGGAAGGGGUAGGGGGUGGUCUCCAGGACGGCACCAGCCACCACUCCGUGCAGUGCCAGGAGGUGUACAAGCCGGAAGCCGGGGGUGGGGGGGACCUGGGGGGAGCCCCGCCCUGCAGAGAUGCGCUGGCGAGUCUGCGCCCUGUUCCAGCUCACGGGCCGCCCUGACUAGAUCUGCACUCAACGAGGCAGCAAAUACCGCCGUCAGACGCGCUCAAUGUGGCCGCAAGACGCGGGGCCAUGCGGUCUCAGUACCUAGAUCUCCCUGGACCCAGGCUUCCGACAGAGCCAGCAGCCCUCCCCCAGGCCAGGCACAGCCAGGGGCCACGGGGCUGCACCCAGCUGCAACCCCCCAUUUUGUGGGCGAUGCCACCGGAGACCCCAGGUGGGUGCAGGGAUAAAGGCCAUGAAAAGUAUAGCAAGCUAAGUGUGGGGAAAAGGGAGCCUACCCCAUCGUGCAAAGAGAAUUUGGGGAGAUUUGACGGGCCCACCUUCUUCUAGGACACAGGGACAGUUCCUGAAGCCAGGCGCUGGCUCGCAAGCAACAGCAGGCAGCGAGCUUGAUUAAGAACAAGCAGCCUGGAGCCAGACCCUGCCCUGCCGCCCUGCUGGAUCAUCUUGGCCAAGUCACUCAACCUCUCUGUGCCCCAUUUCUUUAUCCGUGAAACAGAACCUGCCCCCAAGGGCUGAGGAGGAGCAUGAGUAAACACCCCAGAGUGGAGGCGGGCCCAGGAACAAGGCAAAAGCCCAUUUGGGGCAGCUAUGAUUUUUCUUAUCUCCCUUGAAAAUGACAAGAGGAUGGGAACGUGGGUCCGAUUUGCCCAACGCCCUCCAGAUUCUUGUGGAACCGUGUCCAGGGGACACAGUGCGGGGAGCUGGGACACCAGCCCACGCAGGCACCAGGAAAGGCGUGCACGUGAACUUGGAGCCACGGUUGGGUUUACGCAGCACCUCAGAGGUGGGCCCAGGGCUCUGAACCUCCGGCUCAGGGUCCCCGGGAAUCUCAUCCUGGCCGCUGGGGGGACCGACGUUCUCAUUCAGCUUGUCAGAUGAGAAAAGCUCUUUGUUUAUUUUCUCUUCUCCUCAAACAACAGAUAAACCAGUAAUUUGGCUUUUAAUGAAAUUCUGCACUCAGCAGCAUGGGGUCACUGUCUUUGGGUCUCAGAUGAGUCUGGAACAUCCCGCUGCAAUGCCUGCUACCCUGGGCUGACACUUUGUCUCAUGCAUAGUUCUCAAGUGGUGACUGAUGUACCCAAGCGGUGGCCUAUAGCGGACUCGGGGGGGUGCCCGCGCUUGUUAAUGCCGUGGUGUGGGGACGGUUACAUUGGAGUUAUUAAGGAAGGGUAAUGUCGCCUCCCACCCCCCACAUACAUUUAAUAUAUUACAAAGAUGUGUGGCUGCAUUAAAGCAAUUUUCAUCUCCAAAUGUUCCCAUUUAGUCAGUUCCAUGCAUAAAAUAUUAGCCCUGACACCAGGCUCCAGCCCGUCGCAGACGGAGUUCCCCAGAGCACCUGGCUCUGCCGGCCACCGAUCGGCCGGAAGCUGGGGGCGCACUCAGUUGGUGUCUGCGGGAUCAUAUGGGGGCUGGUCACUCCUUUCAGGGCCCCGGGGACCCCUUGGGAGGUGGAAAGAAGAGCCCACAACCAGCUCACCUGUCUCUUUUGCAGCAAACCUCAGACUCUGAAAUCACAUCCUGGAAAGGACAGAAAAAGCCGGAAAACCAAACAGCUUUUAACAAAUGCAAAGAAUUUCUAAAGCCGAUUACCAUAUUCAUGGGCUCUUCACCAAGUCUUCUUGCCUGCCUCCUUUGGGCCUGGCACUUUCCUGGGGUUAACUUCAUAAGGUCCCUGCCCUUAGGGAGUCUGACAGUCAAUCAACAAACACCCAUCAUUCCUCUGCUAUGGGCCUGGCUGGGUCCUGGGGUUGGGGACACACCAGGUAACAGGACAGAAAAAAUGCCUGCCCUCAGAAAUCUUACAGUCUAAGGGGAGAGGGAAGUAGACAUUAACCUCAAUUCACUUUGGAUGGCAGAAAGCUAAGGCAGAAAACCUGACAGGGUGGCUGAUUGAAGCUGGCUGGGAAGAGUUGGGGGCUAGACUGGGGGACCAGGGACAUUUCAUCCCCUCUAGAAUCCUGAACUCCUGCUCUAGAAAGGGGGCUGCCACUUGCAGGGGGAACAGGACACUGUGUGGAGUGUCCUGAAAAAAGGAUAUGCAGGGCACGGGGACUGGGGACGGAGGUCUGGACCCUGGACGGCAGGAGGCUAGGGGCAGGCUGCACAGAGGAGACCACCGGGACUCAGCUCCCCGUGGGAGGACAGAGGGAUGCUAACUGGGACAUACUGUGAAGCAUGAAAGGCAGGAAGUGGCAGGAAUGAGGGUGGCCGGUCCAGGGCCUUGGGACACUAGUCACCAUCUUGGAGCCAGCCACGAGGGGAGGGGUGCAACAGAGGGGCUCCAGGCUGUGCAGAGAGAGCCAGACUGCACUCUGGGGAGUUCUCCCUGGCAGAAGGAGGAGGAGGCAGUGGAGGGAGAACCAACGGAGGCCUGUGCAGUGGUCCAGGCCCAGAGAGACCCCCGUCUUGACAGAGAAUCCCACAGGGGAGAGGCAUGCACGGUGGUGAGACCUCCAGGGUGAGGAUGUGGUCCUGCACCCCUGGGGAUGCUGCCACCCCGCUCAGAAAGAGCUUCCUGAGGCCCACGAGACAGUUAACGAACACUGACCCCUCGCCCACCCUGUGGAGGCAUCUUGGAGUUCACGUGUCCAACUGCCCUGGACCCUUCCCACCCCCGGUGAUCCUGCCGUGGUCUGAGUAGGGCCGAGGACGUGAGGAUGCCAAGGUGAAAUGGGGACCAGCAGGUAAAGGCCUGGCCCCACGCGGAGGGAACCGCCAGGGGCAGGGAUGUUGGGGCGCACCGACUAGGGGACUCAGAGGUCCCUCCGUGGUGUUUUGAGAAGCCCUCCAGAACGGAGGGGGCUGGGAAACUACCAGGCCAGGUGGCACAGGAGCUACAGCAGGUGCCCAGGUGAGCCAAUCCAGAGGCUUCCGCCGCCUGGAGUCGGCACCCGGAGUGGAGGUUGUCCACGGCGGGAUUCGAUUCCGGAAAGAGGUUGACUGUAUAAUAUUCAUCGUAUAGAAAGUGAACACCUCACAGGCAACCUAUUUCAGGGACCACUGAGCAGGGCUGACUCCAGACGGGAGGUUCUUCCUCCAGACGGCCCGCCACCCGCCCCGGGGGGGCGGGAUGCGAGGUGGCAGGGGCGGGCCCUUGGCCAUGCAGUGGCGGCGCGGCCCUCCCGACGGCGGGCGUGCAGGAGGCAUGCAAGGCGGGAGCUGAUACUGAAGAGAGGUCGACCGUGUAUUGUGCGUCAUGAUGGAUGCGAACGCGCCACGGGCGACCUCUCCUCAGCACCACGUGGAGCAGCACGCUCAGCAGGCAGGCCUCCGGCUCUUCCCAGGGGUGUCACCCUGCGGGGCUCCGAGGCACUGGGGUGAGGGGAACGCGGCCGGGACACGCUUCCCGGGUGCAGGCCAUGCAUGUGGUCAGCCCUCAGUGAGGGGUUCCAUUGGGGAGCCCUCUGCCUCAAUGGCACUGAGCAUGGAAACAGCCAGAGCCCGUGUCACUCGUCACACGUCAAGCGAAUGCUUCAUGACCAGCCUCCCCAAUGCAAAACCCCCGCUUCUUCCCCGAAGUCGACAUGCCCUCCAGGAAGCUCUCCCAGGACGGAGUCAAAAUGUUGAAGGUCAGCAGAGAGGGUGGUAAAUGUCAUUGCAGAGCCCAUGCAUUCACGUACCCUGGACGGGGCAGGCCUCAGGCCCGGCCCUGCAUGCGAGGCGUAGGUGGUACUGAAGACAGGCCAUCUGUGUUAUAUUCGUCAUUAAUAAAGCGAACUCAUCACAGACAACCUCUCCUCAGCUACCCAAGGUGAC
rnacentral:lncRNA from 1 species